CUUGAAUUUGUGAUUCUCCUACCUCAGCCUCCCAGAGUGCUGGGAUUAUAAACCUGUGCCUCUUGGUCCAGUUUCUUUUUUAAAAUGCUGGAAAGGAUCCAGGGAAGCUGCAUCAUUUUUAGAUAGGAGAUGACAUCACUUCCCAACUUGCUUAGGAGGCCUAAAGUCUUGCUCUAUUCUUGGUCUAGCACCUCACUUUCCAUUCUCUUUACAACCUAUUGUCCUUUUUUGUACUUAGCCUAGCAGGACCUGGGGGGCCCAGCUUGAAAAAGGAUGUUAGCAUCCCCUCCCUUCUGCCGACCUACCUCCUCUUGUAGCAACCUGGCGCCCCCUCGACAACUCAUGGUGCUGGAGGUCAAAUUGUUCCAGAAAUCGUGGAAAGAAAUAUACGGAGACACAGAAUUCAGUCUCAUCCGUGUCUGUUUUAGCCAUCUUCUCACCCGUGGAGGACUUGUGUUCCUGUCUGUCCUCUGCCACACAGGCAAAGCUCCCUUGUGACUGAAGCAGAAGAGAAGGGCCUGAUGCUCCCCGUAAG
rnacentral:lncRNA from 1 species